GCCAUUGUAACAGUAUUAAGAGGCAGAAAGUUUAAGAGGUGAUUAGGCCCAGGAGGACAUCACCCAAAUGUGUGGGAUUGGUGCCAUUACAAAAGGGCAAGUUCAUCCUGCUCUUGUUCUCUUAUCCUUUUGCUUUCUGCCUCUGACACAGCAAGAUGGCCCUUGCCAGAGGCCAGUCCCUUGAUCUCAGACUUCCUAGCCUCCAGAACUAUGAGCCAAUCAAUGAAUGUCUCUUUAGUAUAAAUUAUGCAAUCUGUGGUAUUUUGUUAUAGUAGCUCAAAAUGGACUAAGGUAAGUCUUAAGUUUUAAUUGCUUAAUUCUUUAAUAUGUUUCAGUGAUGAUGAAAAUACCUGUUUGUCAGGACCUCAAAGAACUUUGAAAAUUACUAUCUUGACUAUUCAUAUGAAGAAUUGAAGGCACAGAAAGGUGGAAUUUGCUCAAAAUGAGAAAAAAGUACCAAGUCUCAGAAUUAGUUACCAAGUUUUAUAAAUACUGAUUGAGUGUACCUAAUCUGAGAAUCUGAAAUGCUCCAAAAUCUGAAACUUUUUGAGAACAGAAAUGAUGAUCAAAGGAAAGGUUCAUUGGAGCAUUUAGAAUUUCAAAUUUUGGAAUUAGGGAUGCUAAAUCAGUAAGUAAAAUGUAAAUAUUCAAAAAAAAUCUGAAAUCCAAACACUUUUGGUCCCAAGCAUUUUGGAUAAGUGAUACUCAACCUGUAGUAGUUUCAGUUAGAGCAAAACUUAUCAUUGGUUCCUCAAAACUAUUUCUAAUCAUAGUUUCAUGAUAUUUAGUGUAUGCUCUUUCAGUUCAAAAGUUUAAACUAGUUUUGAUUUUUUAUUCUCAAAAUGACUUUUUGUAAGAGUAAUGACUAUCCAACGCAAAAGAUCUCUCUUUCCUCUGGGUCCUCAGACCAAGCCUUUUAAAAAAAUUUUUAAAUAAAGCAAGCUAUUUAUGUAGAAUAAAUUGAAUUAAAUGGUGAGACACCAUUCCGAUUUUGGAUUUGAUAUCUCUGUGGGUAGAAAUGAGAUGACUGAAUUGAGAGAUAGAAUUAAAAUAAUUCAUUUCAAUAUUAAAUAAUAAAAAUGGAUAACAUAGAGUAUUUUCCUACUGUGUUUUUCCUAUACUAGAUACAUUUUGCUGGUGGGGGUGAGCAUCUGUCAUACAUGGUCACUCACCCUGAUACGCAUGAGAUUGUCCUCUGGUGGGGAUAACAGCGUUGCUCCUCAAUGAGCUAUAACAACGGCUGUAAAUGCAUCUCCUGUAACAUACCUCUGUGAUUUGCAAAAGUGGGAAUAAAUCAACGCAGGGAAGAGAUGCCACGUUAACCCAGAAGCUAAAUGUUACAUCAUGUAGCGCGAGGCUGGGGAAGAGAGAGCCUGCUUUUUCCUGGCAGCACAAUAUCUUUGUGCUCGUUGCCUCCGCCACAGCCCCAUUAAAACAAUCAUUCUGAAUCUGCGGGAAAUUGUCACCUCUUUCUUUCCUGCCAUGGCAGCUGGUAUUGGAGGCUGCAGACAUUGCUCAUUCCCUUCAAGGUUCUUAGCACACACGCAAAACAGAAAAUGAAGCUUAAUUUAUUUAAAAAAAAAAAAAAAGUGUCAGCUUACCCUCAGGCUCUGCGCAGGCACCAGGGAAAAAAGAAAAGAUAAAUGCCUCUAGGUGAACUGGCACCGACUCUAAUUCUCCACUCACUCUGCUGCUCCACUGUAUGUAUCGCAUUAAUCAUGCUGGAUGGGUAGACAUUUCAAAAACUUAAGCAAUUUUCAAACAAAGAGGCACCAUUUUACAAAUACAAUAACAUAACUUUAUUUUGUGAUUCUUUCUUUGUACCAGCAGUGAAUCUGAAAAAUGUGCUGCAGAUGUUAGUAGAAAUAAUUAAUGCCCGGGUUGGGGAUGGGAGGGAGAAGCAUGAGGAAAAAGACAAGUGUGGGCAGAAGAGGGGCCAUGGCUGCCUUCUCCUUUCUCCUCUUGUGAUCUUUCCCAGAUCCUGGGUCACCUAUGAUGACCUGGGUGAUGUCCCUGAGCUCCUGAGUGCUCUGUUUCUAAGAACUGAGCUCUGCUUUGGUUCUGACUACCUUGUUGUUCUCCUGUGAGUUCAGGCAUCUCCGUUCCUGACACCCGGGCCUGUGGCUAGCACCCUGCCCCGUGUGUUUCAUCUUCCUGAUAAUGACACCAGCCAUCUUCAGCCCAACGUGCUGCCUGCGUGGGGUAUCCACUAUCCUGCCCUUCCCUUUCCUGGGAAGGGCCUAGCUCCUCCAGGAAGUCUUAGUGUCCACUGUGACCUGGCCCACGACUCUUCCUUGGGCACUACACUCUCUCUGCAUGCCCAGCUGUUUUUGCACCCCAGACUGGGCCUGCCUCCCAACCCCAUUCUGCUGUAGUUUGGGAGGUUUGUGGCAGACUGCUUCUCGUGUUUUCUGACUGUGUUUCUAUCAUCCUCUGACCUUCACUCUCAAGUUGGAAGGAAAUAAAUGAGGAGAAGUGGAGUGGAGGUUCCAGGAACUCAAGACAGUGGGACUGUGGCAAAGACAACUGGCACUUGAAGGACAUUUUAGUGAAUUGGAGUAUCUUGGUGCAAAGUCCUAAAAUUCUGAAUCCUCAAACGAUUGAGACACGUGUGUGUGUGUGCUGUGGGAGAGGCUAAGAGAGCCCUGGUCUCUUUCACUACAGGUUUCUGGGAAGUUUCUAGACAUCUGUUGUUGAGAGAAAAGCCAGGCUUUCUGUGUCACAGAUAAAAUGAUGAAUUGGACGUGCUCUCCUUGAUUCUUGAAAACCAAAUGUCCAAACUUUCACCUUUAAUUUGUAAAACGGGAGUACAGAGCCUCAGCAAGGAUGAGAAACACCAUCUACUGAAGAAAAUCCAUGUCCCAAUAAUUUGGGGAGUCAUCCCUU